rnacentral:misc_RNA from 1 species
GGAAGUAAAAGUCGUAACAAAGGUUUCCGUAGGUGAACCUGCGGAAGGAUCAUUACUGAGUGAGGGCCCUCUGGGUCCAACCUCCCACCCGUGUUUAUUAUACCUUGUUGCUUCGGUGAGCCCGCCUCACGGCCGCCGGGGGGCAUCUGCCCCCGGGCCCGCGCCCACCGAAGACACCUAGAACUCUGUAUGAAGAUUGCAGUCUGAGCAAAAACUAAAUAAGUUAAAACUUUCAACAACGGAUCUCUUGGUUCCG